CAGCAGUGGGGAAUAUUGGACAAUGGGCGAAAGCCUGAUCCAGCCAUGCCGCGUGUGUGAAGAAGGUCUUCGGAUUGUAAAGCACUUUAAGUUGGGAGGAAGGGCAGUAAGCUAAUACCUUGCUGUUUUGACGUUACCGACAGAAUAAGCACCGGCUAACUCUGUGCCAGCAGCCGCGGUAAUACAGAGGGUGCAAGCGUUAAUCGGAAUUACUGGGCGUAAAGCGCGCGUAGGUGGUUCGUUAAGUUGGAUGUGAAAAGCCCCGGGCUCAACCUGGGAACUGCAUCCAAAAACUGGCGAGCUAGAGUACGGUAGAGGGUGGUGGAAUUUCCUGUGUAGCGGUGAAAAUGCGUAGAUAUAGGAAGGAACACCAGUGGCGAAGGCGACCACCUGGACUGAUACUGACACUGAGGUGCGAAGGCGUGGGGAGCAAACAGGAUUAGAUACCCUGGUAG
rnacentral:rRNA from 1 species